rnacentral:rRNA from 1 species
UACGUAGGUCCCGAGCGUUGUCCGGAUUUAUUGGGUGUAAAGCGAGCGCAGGUGGUUUAUUAAGUCUGGUGUAAAAGGCAGUGGCUCAACCAUUGUAUGCAUUGGAAACUGGUAGACUUGAGUGCAGGAGAGGAGAGUGGAAUUCCAUGUGUAGCGGUGAAAUGCGUAGAUAUAUGGAGGAACACCGGUGGCGAAAGCGGCUCUCUGGCCUGUAACUGACACUGAAGCUCGAAAGCGUGGGGAGCAAACAGG